rnacentral:tRNA from 1 species
GAGGGUAUAGUUCAGUGGUAGAGCACAUGCUUAGCAUGCACGAGGUCCUGGGUUAAUUACUCAGUACCUCUA